CUGGCUGCCUCUGCUGCAGAGAAGUGGCAGAUUUUGGCAGGAGGCAAGUGUAGAAAUUAUGCAGCAAGAGGACCAUCCU
rnacentral:lncRNA from 1 species